rnacentral:rRNA from 1 species
AGGAUGAACGCUGGCGGCGUGCCUAAUACAUGCAAGUCGAGCGGUAAGGCCUCUUCGGAGGUACACGAGCGGCGGACGGCUGAGUAACACGUAGGAACGUACCCCAAACUGAGGGAUAAGCACCAGAAAUGGUGUCUAAUACCGCAUGUGCUCUAAGGAGUAAAGCUUCGGCGGUUUGGGAACGGCCUGCGUCCGAUUAGCUAGUUGGUGAGGUAAUAGCUUACCAAGGCGACGAUCGGUAGCUGGUCUGAGAGGAUGAUCAGCCAGACUGGGACUGAGAACGGCCCAGACUCCUACGGGAGGCAGCAGUAGGGAAUUUUCCACAAUGGGCGAAA